GGGGUAUUAGUUAAAUAAUAUCAUCACCUUGUCAAGAUGAAGUUACGGGCUAGAUCCCCGUAUACCCCU
rnacentral:tRNA from 1 species